GGCCGGUUAGCUCAGUUGGUUUGAGCGUGGUGCUGCUAACACCAGGGUUCUGGGUUCGAUCCCCAUUCAGUCCC
rnacentral:tRNA from 1 species